rnacentral:lncRNA from 1 species
UGAAAUUCUAAAAGAAACUCCUUUUCGGGUUAGGCACACAAUAAACCAUUCAGACAAGCUAUCAAAAAGCUAUUUUUACACAUUCAGACAAGCCAUCCCAGAGGGUUUGGUUAGUACUGGGUACACAACCCAAAAGGAUUGGUGCAGGUAGAAUUUAGCUUUGUUUCAGUCAUGGCUAGGGGUGGGUUUUGUGCAAACUGCAUAAAUGGAGGUUGAGGGCAACUCCGGAGACCCUAGAGAUCGGGACUCAGGCAGAGGUGUUGCCAACAAUGGAGGUACAGCUGGGUUGCAUCUAGGAGGGGGUAAAAUUUGGGUGGCAGACGAAGAGGUCUAGCCACAGUAAGGUGAAUAGGUGGAGCUGAAAAUGAAAUAUAAUCUUUUU